AUGGGAAAAAAGGUGUUGGGCUUCAACAUAAAAUGCAAUGGCAAUUCAGAUUCUCCACUCAGACUUUUUCUGCAACACUUUGGGGAAGAAGCCAAUCUGGUGAGAGGUGUUCACAAGGACUUUGAAGACAUUAAAGAUGAACUCGAGAGCAUCCUAGCUCUCCUUAAAGAUGUUGAUAAAAGAGUUGUAGUUGACAGGGACAACACAUUAGUGAAGGAGUCAAAAUGUGGUUGA